UUUUUUUUUUUUUUUAAAACAAAGGACCUACUUAGAAAAUGUAGUUCUUUCAUGACAUUUCCAUUCUUUUUUUUUUUUUUUUUUUUUUUUUUUUCACAGCUGCACCUGCAGCAUAUGGGGGUUCCCAAGCUAGGAGUCGAAUCCAAGCUGCAGCUGCCAACCUACACCACAGCCACAGUAACACAGGAUCCAAGCCUCAUCUGUGACCUACGCCACAGCUUGUGGCAACACCACAUCCCUAACCCAUGGAGUGAGGCCAGGGAUUGAACCCACAUCUGCAUGGAUACUGUGUCAGGUUCUUAAACUACUGAGCCAUGACGGGAACCUGCUCAAUUCUCUAUUUUAAGAGUUAAAUACAUUACAACGUGCACACCUGGAUUAUGGAUACAAACAACGAAAACAAACAAACAAACCAAGACCAUGUGUUGAAAAUUCUACGUUGUUCUUGAAGGAAACAUCAGGGGAGGAAAGAGAAAAUUCCCCACUCUAAAAUAUAAAAUGGCAAAGGAUUACCUUAAAUGAACUAGAGUUGCCCACCGAAAUCACUGUGAGCUUAAAAGUGUGUGCUAGGAGUUCCCGUUGUGGCGCAGCGGUUAACGAAUCCGACUAGGAACCAUGAGACAAGAAANCCUUGGAUAGGGCCUAUGGUCACAUAACUAAUAAGAGAGUAGUUCAUCCUUCAUACAGUCCAAAUUCCUAAAGGUUUAUUUACCUAAUGUUUUCUUUGCUCAAACCCGCAUCACAUUUCCUCCUUGAUAUUUUUAUCCAUUCCCUUAGAAUCUCCCUUCUGAUUCCAGCAUCAGCAGUAGAUUCCUUCCCUAAGGCGAGAGCCCUGAUCCCUGAGAACCAGAAGAUUUAGAAAGAUUUCUCACCUUCAUCAGCACUGCCUCUGCCUCCUUUUCUUCCUAUUUUCCAUUAGCAAUCUCAUAGGGAAAAAAAAAAAAUCUACCCACACCAUAACAGAUUCACUAUCUGAUUUAUUCAGAUGCAAUGCCCCGCCCACUCUUUAGCUGCCCAACAGCUCUAGUGCUUCUUUGGCAUGGAAUACCCUGACUGUAACUGUCCUUAUAGGAGUCACUUAGAUGACCUUGUUUGCACCAUCACCUUUAUAGUAACCGUAUGAGGUAAGCAUCAUUAGCCUCCUUUUAAAGAUGCCAGGGAGAAAUAUUUCUAAGAGAGAAAUAGUUGACGCAACGUCACAGGCUUAGUAAGAGUCAGCUUGAGAUGUUGAUCCAGGAGUGUCUGAUUUCAGAAGCCCUGCUGUCAAUCACCAGAUGUAUAGGGGUCCAGCAGGAGGUAUGGACUUAUCCUGAUUUUAACCCCACAGGCUGCACUCAAACCAAACAUAAUUAUGCCAUUCUUAAGAAAGGCUCCCAUUCAAAUCUCCCAGGAGCGGGAAACAAGGCUAGACAAGGACAGAACCCAUAAUAAGGGAGGGUUCUGAAAACCAGUCAUAUAUCUCCUCUCCGUGCUUCCCUGUCAACUCAGGAGGCUUCAGUAUGCCUCUCUUGUUGCCAGGAAAAUUCUCUUUUUCCAGCUUCUCUAAGUCAGUGAACUUUCUGCACAGGUGCUCAGCAACCCUUCCCAGUCUGUUUUCAGCUGGGGAAACCCUUGAGUUAUGGGUCUGUGGGUCCAUGUGGAUAGUGCCAUCCACAGACCAUCCAAGAUGUGCAGGUGGGGGAGCCACAGACAGCAAGUUUCAGUCAAGCGCCUGCAGUAAUGUUUCCAGGGUAAUUAGAUUCAUGACCUGCCACAGGGAACAAUUUCUUCCACUAACUUAUCUGGACUACAGAUACAAGCAUAAACACUCCAGUGGGGCCUCUAAAUUCUGACCCAAACUUGAGCAGAGCUGACUUUCAUCUCAUGCCAGAAGCUGCUUUCUGAAUUAUGGCAGCUUUCCUGUUUCCACCUUGAAGGAAACAGGCCUCUGGGAGUUUCAACAGCCACUUAAGACUUUUCUAUGCAUAUUUGGAUGAAGAAAACCCCAGCGAGCAAAAGACAGAGGAAGAUGGAAAGCAGGAGAGAAAAUGCAGAGGUGGGGGGAACAGAGAAAGAGACCCACUGCCCUCAGCUGCUUACUCUUCUAAAUUAAUCAUCAAGGCCCCCAUUAAUUAUGUUAUUCCCCUGGAUUGACUCAGGCAUAUUACGCCACCACAUACUUCACAUUUUGAUAUGACAAACGAUUUUAUUACUGUACGCCAUCAGCUUUGAUGGUAACCUCAGUCUUCAGGAUGGUGGUUUUUUGGUUUUGGUUUUGGUUUUGGUUUUGUUUUGCUUUUCCUGGCUGAUAAAGGAAAACCCAUAAAGGACAUUACAAAUUGGAAUCAAGCUUGGGAAGUGUGAAAAUCAUUUAGAAACCCAAGAAAUGGCUAUUCGCAUCUGCAACAGUAGUUCAUUAGCAUCCAGCUAUUCAGUCAUUUCAUUAAAGGGCAUUUUCUCUCUGAAGGAAGCAGCCUCUUAUGCCAUCUUAUUCAUGCCCUUCCUGGAUUCCAAGACCCAUUUCAGCGAGGCUGCCGCAGAACCGUAAACUGCAGACAGGACGUGUUAAUUUUUUCCCCUCCCUCCCCAAGACCAUCCAGAAAAGAAGCGAGGCCCAGAAAACAAAUCUCUUCUGCAUGAUCUUGCACCCUCUCUGAGCUUUUCCUGGCUCACGGCAGCACCUGGAUUACUUCAUUAAUGCCUCCCCUUUUUCUAACAAAUUGGUUUCUAUUAGGAAUAUGAUAUUUGGGCCGUGAUCUAAUAAAUGCAUAUAGACAGGGAACUGCAAAAAAAAAAAAAAAAAAAAAAAAAAAAAGACAGACAUCUAAAUAACAAUGUUGAUGGGAAAGAAAGGGUGGAUGGGCUCUUUAAGUCUGGCCCUGAGCUCUGAACCUCUGGAGGGUUAAUUCCCUUACUCUGUACAGGGAGAGUGUGGGCGGGAUGGAGAUUGUCUGGCUGUGUGUUGACAGAGUGUGGAUGAGCAAGAGGAUCAGUUCUGUCCUCCAGACCUUACGUGCCGGGGGGAUUUCACAGGCUUUGCAGAAGACACCUCACUGAAUGUGUACGAAGGAUCCGUCCUGGAGAACAGCAGGAAUGUCGAUUCUGGGAGAAAGAGUCCCAGGUGGCCAGCCUGAAGCCCGUGGGCAGGGUAGAUAUUAAAGCAUUCGUGGCGAAUGCAAAGGAUUCAGCCCUGAGUCGUUACAACCAAAAAAUCAUGACAGAGAAAAAUCUCAGCUGUGGAAAACGGACUCGCGCAGUCACUAACGAAAUAUCUGAGGGGAGUUCCCGCCAGGGCACGGGUUCAAUUCCCAGCCUGGUGCAGUGGGUUAAGGGAUCUGGCAUUGCCAAAGCUGAGGCACAGGUGGCAGCUGUGGCUAGGAUUCCAUCCCUGCCCUAGGAACGUCCAUAUGCUGUGAGUGUGACCAUAAAAAAAUAAGUGUGUGUAUAUAUAUGGGUUUACUAGGUGCCAGGCCUGGACCUAGCGUGGCGGAACAGAUCCAUAAGUGAGGCUGACCAAGUGCCCUCUCCCACAGAGCUUCGAAGCCAGGGGUAGAGAGGAAGGAAAAAAAUAAUAAAUGCCAUCGAGGGGCUUCCGGGUGGCUUAGCGGUUAAGGAUCUAGCAUUGUCACUGCUGUGGCUCUGGUUACAGCUAUGGCACAGGUUCGAUACCUGGCCCAGGAACUUCCACAUGCCACAGUGCCCCCCCCCCCAAAAAAAAACUAUCAAAACACUAAUUCCAGUGAGUGUGGUGUGCCUUGAAUGAAAUCAACAGGAUAAUGAGAGAGCAUAACGGCAAAGGAGAUCUCUCAAAGGCGGCCUGAAAAGAGCCAGUGACGCCGUGGGUCACGUCAGAGAGCAAAGUGGGGACGGGAGGGACAGUGGAGACACUGGCUUCAUCAUGACGACGUUGGUGGAGAAGGAGGCAGGCAGGAAGCUCCAGGUCCCCUGCUAGUCCCGGCUCUGCUGUCUCCGCAUGCCUUGAGCCUCUCCCCAUGUCACCUCCUCUCUUCUGGAUCUGCCAGCCUUUUAAACGGAGACCAGGGGUGGUUCUCACCCCUGUGAGACGAUCUCCAUCAGAACCAUCUCUGUGAAUGUCCCUCGGAUUCUGGGUUAACUCAAAGGUGGAGAAUCUCAGGUGCACGACUCCCACAAGAUCCCCUCUCCCACGCUCUCUGACCUCACCCUACGCUCCCUGCCAAGCUUCUUCCUCAUCAGCCGCAACGAUGCCGCCCUAAGCUUCUAAGACCCCCCAGUCUCCUCUGACCAGGAGCCCUGGGCUCUUCGUAACCAAACAUCCCGAGCCCCUCCUCCCACAGCCCACCGCCCAGAGGUCUAGGCUCGCUGAGCUGAUGCGGGUAACGUAGAUGCUGGGGGAGUUGGGUUCUGAAUGUCAGGGACCCCAUACGGUCCCUGACCUAUCUCCUUACCCGUAUCUGUUCCACGAUUACUGUUCAAUACACCUCUUGUUCGGUACACUUAUCGUGACGGAUUUGGGGCGCAAUUGACAGCAGGCAAACUGCUUCCAUGAAGAUGCUCAUCUUACCAAGCUGUGAGGCUAUAAACGGUCCCCGGACACUCUCUGUCCUCUCAACACUGCCCAAGAGGAGGUGUGAGGACUGGAUAUCUUUUCUGCAGUCUUAGAACGAAUCAAAGGAUUGUCUGCUUCGCUUAGGGGUGUGGCGAUACAGAAUGCAGGAACAAAGACAAGAAAAGUACCGAUGUGGUCAAUGCUGCCUAACCCAGGGGAGCAGAAACCCGCAGCCAUUCCCACGUGGGAGGAAAAGACUCUGAAAGGGAAGGGGGGUGUGUCCACGUACAACCGAAUCCCCUUGUUGUAUAGCAGAAAUGACCGCAACCUUGUAAAUCCACUACACUUUUUUGUGUGUGUGUCUUUUUAGGGCCCCGCCCGCGGCAUAUGGCGAUUCCCAGGCUAGGGGUCAAAUCGGAGCUAUAGAUGCCAGCCUGCACCACAGCCCCAACAAUGCGGGAUCCGAGCCCCGUCUGUGACCCACACCACAGCUCACAGCAAUGCCGGAUCCUUAACCCAGUGAAUGAGGCCAAGGAGCGAACCUGCGUCCUCAAGGAUAUUCGUUGCAUUCGUUUCCAACGAGCUACGACGCAAACUCCUAAAUCAGCUGUGCUUCAAUCCAACUUGAAAAAAGGAAAAGCCAGAGAACCAAAAGCAUAUUUAGGGUCCACUUCAUUCAGGGGGACUCUUACCAGGGUGCUGCACGUACCUCAUCUCAUCAAAUCAGGACCGGCUGCAUCAUUUGUGGGGCUGGAGCCACAGUGAAAAUGCAGGGCCCAUGAUUCAAAAGUCAUUAAGGCUUUCAAAACGGCAGCAGCAAAGCAGGAAGCCAAGCACGGGCCCUUCGGAGAGCAGAGAACUGAACCCGAGGGGGUGAACCCUCCCAGCCACAUUCCUACCACCCCUGUUUUACAUAUGAUGCCAGGUAAGGGAACUCGCCCAAGGACACAGCCGGAAAAGGGCACAAGAGAAAUUUAAGACCAGGGUCGGCCUCGAUCCACAGACCUGCACAAGGAGUCCCAGAGAUUCACACACACACACACACACACACACCCCGUAAUUGAUUUCACUCCAAAAAUAUGGAGGCCCCC
rnacentral:lncRNA from 1 species